rnacentral:piRNA from 1 species
UGGGAAACAGCCAUAAAGAUGCCUGAACUCA